rnacentral:rRNA from 1 species
UGGGGAAUAUUGGACAAUGGGCGCAAGCCUGAUCCAGCCAUGCCGCGUGAGUGAUGAAGGCCUUAGGGUUGUAAAGCUCUUUUAGCAGGGAAGAUAAUGACGGUACCUGCAGAAAAAGCCCCGGCUAACUUCGUGCCAGCAGCCGCGGUAAUACGGAGGGGGCUAGCGUUGUCCGGAAUUACUGGGCGUAAAGCGCGCGUAGGCGGUCCACCAAGUCGGGGGUGAAAUCCCGGGGCUCAACCUCGGAACUGCCUUCGAUACUGUUGGUCUCGAGUCCGGAAGAGGUGAGUGGAAUUCCUAGUGUAGAGGUGAAAUUCGUAGAUAUUAGGAAGAACACCGGUGGCGAAGGCGGCUCACUGGUCCGGUACUGACGCUGAGGUGCGAAAGCGUGGGGAGCAAACA